GGGGAAUUUUCCACAAUGGGCGAAAGCCUGACGGAGCAACGCCGCGUGAGGGAGGAAGGUCUUUGGAUUGUAAACCUCUUUUCUCAAGGAAGAAGUUCUGACGGUACUUGAGGAAUCAGCCUCGGCUAACUCCGUGCCAGCAGCCGCGGUAAUACGGGGGAGGCAAGCGUUAUCCGGAAUUAUUGGGCGUAAAGCGUCCGCAGGUGGUCAGCCAAGUCUGCUGUCAAAUCAGGUUGCUUAACGACCUAAAGGCGGUGGAAACUGGCAGACCAGAGAGCAGUAGGGGUAGCAGGAAUUCCCAGUGUAGCGGUGAAAUGCGUAGAGAUUGGGAAGAACAUCGGUGGCGAAGCGUGCUACUGGGCUGUAUCUGACACUCAGGGACGAAAGCUAGGGGAGCGAAAGGGAUUAGAUACCCCAGUAGUC
rnacentral:rRNA from 1 species